rnacentral:rRNA from 1 species
CCUACGGGUGGCUGCAGUCGAGAAUCUUCGGCAAUGGGCGCAAGCCUGACCGAGCGACGCCGCGUGCGGGAUGAAGGUCUUCGGAUUGUAAACCGCUGUCGGAGGGGAUGAAAUGCAUGGGGGUACUCCCCUGUGUUUGACAGAGCCUCGGAGGAAGCACGGGCUAAGUUCGUGCCAGCAGCCGCGGUAAUACGAACUGUGGGAACCAUAGUCGGAAACACUGGGCUUGAAGGGUGCGCAAGUCGCGUGUGAAAUCCCCCGGCUCAACCGGGGAACUGCGCUUGAAACUGGGGGGCUCGAGUGAGGUAGGGGUGUAUGGAACUUCCGGUGGAGCGGUGAAAUGUGUAGAUAUCGGAAGGAACGCCGGCGGCGAAAGCGGUACACUGGGCCUUGUCUGACGCUGAGGCACGAAAGCUAGGGGAGUGAACGGGAUUAGAUACCCCGGUAGUC